UUGGGAGAUUGGGCGUGUUUUGGGCGAAGGCUUGGCUCCAGCUCUCAGCCUGGCACAGCUGAUCCCAGCACCCUAAUCACUCACCUGCCUGCCAUCAACUCAUCACCUGCAGCCUACAAAUGUUUGGACUCCACUCGGCGCGAUCGCCAGAUCGUUUCACCUUGCUACAUGCGUUCCCUACCUGCCGUGUGUGCCUACCUCAGCCUGCAAGCCACGGCCUGCUAGCCACAGCCUGCUAGCCUCGGCCUGCUAGCCUCGGCCUGCUAGCCACGGCCUGCUAGCCACAGCCUGCUAGCCACAGCCUGCUAGCCUCAGUGUGCUCUCCUGGACUGCAAAGCCUAGGACUACAAGCUGCCUCCUUUCCUUCAGUAUAAAAGGGGUGAAGGAGGAACACUGGCAGCAGAAGUAGGCGAGGAAACCACGGUGAACAAGGACCACGAGCACGACGAGAAAGACCCUGAGCGAGAUGAGCCUCUGCAGCAGACGCUGCCACCGGCCACCGAAAGGUGUGCCGCGACGAGGAGGAAGAGCCAGGGAGCUAGAAAUUGGCGCGACAGACUGGCAAGACAUGAUGUUUGUUGAAAGAAUAAACGAAAUUCAAACCUGUUACGAUGCGUCCUGUACCGAGUGUCACUGCAAACCACACGAGGAAGGCUGGAGACCCGUCACACCGAUAUUGAUCGAUACCGAUAUAUACAGUCGUGGAAUUAACACAUUAU